AAAAAUGAAAGUGAGUAGGAGAGUAUGCAGACCAAACAGAAACAUCUCCCUGCUCUAGCUUGUAAUCUUGCAAGCUGUAAGGGUGAUUUCAUAAUAUACAGAUGGUGGGAAGUAGCAUCAAUGGUGUUCUCUGGCACUUACUGAUGAUCUAUAAAAAGGCUGAAAUAUUUGUGGGACAAAGAAUUAGGGACCGCAGCAGUUGGUGCCAUGGCUGCCUGCUUAAUUCCUGUUGACACAGUCUGUAGCUCAGUGGUAGAGGGGUGGGGAUUCUCUGACUGCUGGUCAGAAUUGGAGGUGGGGGAGUCAGAUUAAUGGUUCUUGCUCGAGACAUGAGCCUAUUACAGGGGAUUAUUAUUAGUGGAAUUAGGCAUCUUGGAACAGAGCACAGCUCCAUCAAACUGAGUGUCGUGUGACAAGAAGAGGCAUCUGCUGACACAUUAAAUGAAGCAAAUUAUGCUCCUACCCUUCGCGCAGGAAAAGAGACCUGGCAUCUGCAUCUGUUUAUCUAUUGGACAAGGACUGACACUGACUGAAUUCACUGCUAAAUUUGCCACAGCUAAGGUUAAACAAAAGGAAACAAGUGAUGCCGUCUGUGCCAAUGCCCACUAGGAGCAGAAGUCUCAAACCUGUGAGCUUGGAACCCUCACUCAGAACUACAGCAAGUAUUGAGGAUGUUCAUUGCCCCCAUGGUGUCAGUCUUCCAUAGUUAAGACUGUCACAGGAUAAGAAAACACUAAUGACAAACUUCUGAAAGACCUUCCCUAUUUACUUGAGGCAAAUUUUGUUUCUAUUAACUAUUAGGCUCCUUCUGAAUAAACCAUCAAAGUCAUUACA
rnacentral:lncRNA from 1 species